AGUUCGUGGUCAGCUCUCCCUGGGGCCAGUCUGAUUGAAAAGGCUGGAAGCACUUGCAGAGGUUUGGACAAGCUAGUUUGACCUGUGGGCAACUUUGCCAGCUGGCAAGAAUUCCCAGUGAAGUCUGUUAGUGAAGAUAGCUAUGAAACAGCCUGACAUCUCUACUUUUCUCUUAGCCAUGAUGUACGCCUGCAAUGCCUGUGAUGGGAAGUUACAUGGAAAUAUGGAGAAGUGAGAGCCAAAUCUGAAAAGGAAAAAAUUAUGAGGGAUAGCAUUGUGAGAACCCUUCUUUGUCUUCUGUCUCAAAGCUUGCUUCCUGAGGUAUUUCUUGUGAUAAGACGCUUAACUGAUUUAUGGAGGUGGCAAAUGAUGGGUGCUACUAUGUGACAAUCAACAUCACUUUGACAUUUGAAAGCACCUGUAAGAGACUAUUCUUUUGUAUCAUUGACUCAAAGUUUGCUGGUAACGGGACUGCUGCUGGAUCCUGGUGGUGACUAUUAUUUGUAAUAAACUGGUCGGACCAACAUUUGAACCAUUGUUUCUUAAUCUCACGCCGGGCAUACAUAUUUCAAAGAACCUCCUCUCCCUCCUAUAAAUUGGAGCGAGACAGCACCUUCCUCCCGAGCUGCUUGCCUCCAGAAGAGAGUGUUCAGGAGUGGUUACUGGCAGAUCUGGCCUAAUAGCCCCAGCUUGGUGUGGCAAAACUGGGGAAUGACACCAUCAUGCCCUGUGAAAAACAGGAUGCAGAUGGGCAUCCCAGCUCCCUCCUAUCUGCUGACAAGGCCCAGAAGAUGAUAACAAAGGAAUUUCUGCUGAGAUCCCAGAGCCAGUAGCUGCCAAGGAGAGCUGACUCAGCCACUUCGGAUUUGAGGUGUUACUCAAAAGAGAGCUGACUCAACCACUUUGGACUUACAAAUAAGUUUGUACUGCCAUCGUCGUCGUCGCUGUGGUCACCAUCAUCAACGGAACACCCGACGACCCACCACUACUGAAGAUCAAUGACUGAACUACGAACCACGUUGGACCAUGGUGGUGACUAUCUCUCUCCUGCUUCCUAUACAAACUCCUUGCUUCUAUUUCCUAUCUUUUCUAUCGUCCUUCUCCCCUUCCCCAUCUCCCUGAAUGGCUAGGAUUUGUAAUAAACUGGUUGGAC
ensembl:lncRNA